UCAAUAGUUACAGAAGAUAAAAAACUGUAACUUGGAUUAAAAUGGGAACAUUUGUAAAAAAGAAUAAACUUAAUUAUAGUUCCAAUCAUUUUACAUUUGGGAAAAAAAUAGACUGUAGCUUCAAGCUGC
rnacentral:sRNA from 1 species